rnacentral:lncRNA from 1 species
ACACCUCUCUUCCGGCUGGAGCAGCCUGACCAAGUCCCACUUGCUGUUCUGCCAGGGAGCCUGAUUUUGGCACUGGUGUAUUUCCAGAACCAAGGCUCAGGACCCUAUGGGAUUGCACAGGUCGCAGCCCAAGCGCAGUACUUGCGCACAGGUCCCAGCCCCUUCCCUCUCUGGGACUUGUCUUCUGGCCCCUCACUCCUGCGAUGAGCUUUUCUUUCAGCUGGUGAAAGGCCGCAGACUUCGAACCUCUGGGCCUUUGUCCAGGACGUUCCCUCAGCGCUCAGUGCCCUUCCUGGUGGCCUCCUACAUCUUCAGAUCCCGGCUGAGCUCUGCUUAAAUCCGGGACCGGGUAGUCACUGGGGCAGCCACUUGGCUGGGGCGAGGCCACCUCGCUUUGGGUCUUGUCGCGCCCAGGCCAGCGCCAGCCCAGGCUUGCCAUGGACUGGCUCCUGGGCGUUAGAUGAAUGAAUCGACUCAACCCGGGCCGCCACGUUGUGUUCAGAACACCGACAGUCGCUCCCAGGCAACCAGCACCUGCUGCGCCCCGUUUCCAGCGACCUCCCCAACCGCGUGGACUCGCAUCCACGUGCCCGGCGGGGCCGCAGCAGAAAGGCUCGGACCCCCCAGGACGAUCGGCCGGUGGGGGCCGGUGGGGCCGCAGACUCGGGGGGCGGGGGGCGCCAGGCUUCCGGGUCCUGCCCCCGCCCCGUGGGGAACAGCAGGACGGCGCCGAGGCCGUUUCGCUUUCCUCCGCGCCCAUUUGCCGGGAGGGGACCCCGUGCUCCGACCUGAAGCUUCUCUGGAAGACCUGGUGCUGGUCCGCUCUCCCGGGACCUCAUUUUCCUUAUGUGGACAACGGGGGCGGGGUCACAGCAGCCCCUCGGGCUUAUAGCCGGGUUGUUCUUUCCUUAAAUCUCCUCCCUCUGCCAAAAUAAAAAACCCCACAGGGCAAGGCGCGGUGGCUCACGCCUGUAAUCCCAGCACUUUGGGAGGCCGAGGCAGGUGGAUCACCUGAGGUCAGGAGUUCGAGACCAGCCUUACCAAUUUGGUGAAACCCCGUCUCUACUAAAAAUACAAAAAUUAGCUGGACGUGGUGGCCGGCGCCUGUAAUCCCAGCUACUCGGUAGGCUGAGAUAGGAGAAUUGCUUGGACCCGGGAGGCUAAGGUCAGUGAGCCGAGAUCGUGCCACUGCACUCCAGCCUGGGCGACAGAGGGAGACUCCGUCUCAAAAAAAAGAAAAAAAAAAAAAAACCCACAGCGUCCCGGAGGGGCCUGAGGAGUUGUGAGGGGCCGCCUCCGCCUCCAGCAUCUGGCAUCUGGAGGAGGAGGCUGAGGCUGAGGUGAGGGUGAGGGUGGGUGACCCGCACCUGUCCAGGCCCAGGUUGCCUGCUCCCAGCUUGGGCUGGGCAGUGGGGCAGGGCCAUGAUCCCGCCAGUGCUGUGGUUAGCCCUACACCUGGCCUGGCUGAGGACAGCGAACCUGGCAGGUCCAACCUGGGCCCUCCCAGCCUAGGAUCUCCAAGGCCUCGUCUCAGUCACCAUCAGCUGCUCUAGGGUGCAGUGGGGCCCAAGGAGGAUUGGGCCUGAUCUCUGCCCCCCAGAGCCCAUGGACCCAGGACUGGGCCCACCAGGCGUGUCGCAGGCAUAGGGUCAGUGGCUUCUCAACAGCUGCUGGCCCCGGCGCCCCUCACCACCCCACCUCCACUGGUCAGAACCACCACACUGCCAGAGACUGGGUUUCCCUGCAGUUCUGACCAGUGGGGAUGGGGUGAGGUGGAAGGGACAUUGCUUGGCCGGGCACGGUGGCUCACACCUGUAAUCCCAGCACUUUGGGAGGCCAAGGCAGGUGGAUCACUUGAGGUCAGGGGCUCAAGAUCAGCCUGGCCAACAUGGUAAAACCCCAUCUCUACUAAAAAUGCAAAAAUUAGCCAGGCAUGGUGGUUUGCACCUGUAAUCCCAGCUACUCGGGAGGCUGAGGCAGGAGAAUUGCUCAAACCCAGGAGGCGGAGGUUGCAAUGAGCCAAGAUUAUGCCAUUGCACUCUAGCCUGGGUGACAGAGCGAGACUGUCUCCAAAACAACAACAAAAAAGGCAGAGGAGUGGGGAGUCUGGAUGGCUCCGCUGGUCCAGCCCACCCCUCAGGGGACAGACUGGUUGACUUGACGGGUUCACUGAGAGUGCUAGGACCGGCCCCAGGUGUAGUGCCCUCCCUGCGGUGUCCUGAGGUAAAGCCUGCCACUCUGAGCCUGCUUUCUCUUGCCAGGAGACAGGACCUUGUCCGCUGCAGCUGGGACAUGGUGUGGAUAAAACCUGUCAGACAGUGGGCGUCCUCCUGCCCUGAAGCCUCCCCUCUCCCUGGUAGCCUUCAGGCCCCCCAGAUUCUGGUCUCUCGGCCUGCUGUCUCCUUUUUCCUUGGUACCUUGGCACCUGAACUCGCUUGGAGUGUCUAAGGAGCUGCCUGUGACACCAUGGGGACCUCUAUUGGUCCCAGCAUCCCCUGCCCAGCCGUGGGGGGCAUCGGUGUCAGCCCUGCCAAGGAUCAGUCAGCCAAUCAACAAACCGCAGGGAUCACCCAGCUCAUGGAUGUGGGUGCCGGGAGGCAGGGAGGGCCACACAAUGAAGAGAUGUGUGUGGUCCUCCAUGCUCAGAGAUCCUCAUGCCCCUCUCCCAGGGAUGGGAGUUCCCCUCCCCAUCAGGGGUAGCCCUAGGGCCCCCAGCCCCACUCUCACUAGGGCCAGCCUCUCUGUGAACCCCUGGACUCACAUCACGUGUGCGGGGCCCAGCUUUGAGGUGGAAGACCAAACCUUGGCAUUGCUUCUGUGGAAGCUCAGGAAAUGCCCACGAUAUGGCCUGACCACCCCAUUCACACGAGGAUGGAGGGAGCACCCUGGUCACCUGGGGGUUGUGGUUAGAGUGCCCUCCAGCCGAGCCUGCAGCCCAGACCGAGCUAGACUGGAAGGGGUAGAAGGGCAUUCAGGUAGGGACACAGCCUGGGCAAAGGGGCCCUGACCUUUGGCAGCUGCGGGAAGAUGAGCCCACCUGAAAGGGAGGCUGCAUUGAGUGCAGUCAGGACCUGGGCUGUAGGGCUCAGCCUCUAGACAGCAGGAGCACAGAAGGGCGUGGCGGGGUCUCCUGCCCGGCCAUAAUAAACAGGCCCAAGACUUGUUCACACAGGUCCCAGGAAUAUGCUGGGUUUGCCUUACGUAUAAUUUGUGAUUCAUACCUCUCAGUCUUCCAGAAAGAUGCAGUCUACAGAAAUUCAGAAACAAUCAAUUUGUAAGAAUAGACAUAGAUAAUUUUGAACAACCAAGAUUAGUGGGAGAUAGGCAUUUACCCAAUUCUAGGACAUUAAUGAUUAGUAAUCAGGCAUCAGACAUAGCUGUGGUCAGCCAUGGUGGCUCACACCUGAAAUACCAGCACUUUGGGAGGCCAAGACAGAAGGCUCCCUUGAGUUCAGGAGUUCUAGACCAGCCUGGGCAACAGAGUGAAACCCUGUGUCUACAAAAAAUAAAAAUAAAAUAAAAUAAACAAAUUAGCCUGUGGUCCCAGCUACCUACCAGGGAGCCUGAGGUGGAAGGAUCGCUUACGCCCGAGGUCGAGGCUGCAGUGAGCAGUGAUUGCACCACUGCACUCCAGCCUGAGUGACAGAGUGAGGCCCCGUAUUAAAAAAAAACCCCAAAAACUUAGCUAUGAGUUUCCUGGCAGUCGAGGCAUGAAGGGAAUGAGAAUGGACUAUGGAACUUCACUGUGUGAUCACAGCGGAGUAUAUCAGGCAGCCAGGAGGCCCUCACUUAUAUACCCAAGCCUCAGGCAGCAGGCAUGUUCUGUGGCGGCCUCUGGAAACAGGCCAUCAGGGCCGGGAGGACAGAGAUGGCUGUGAGCUGGGCCUGCACCCUCAGGGCCCUGCCUGUUGAGUGGCUCCAGGGUGUCUUGCCCUCUCUGGGCCUCUGGGCCAAGGCUAACCCAACUCUCUGGGUCACAGGGGCUCAAGACCUCAGUGGCAGGUCAUGAGGAAGGCUGCCCUGCCAGCCUCACCCUGGCUCCCCACCCACUGCCUGCUUCUUUUUUUUUUUUUUUUUUUUUGAGAUGGAGUCUCGCUCUGUCACCCAGUCUGGAGUGCAGUGGCGCGAUCUCGGCUCACUGCAAGCUCCGCCUCCUGGGUUCACGCCAUUCUCCUGCCUCAGCCUCCUGAGUAGCUGGGACUACAGGCGCCCGCCACCACGCUGGGCUAGUUUUUUUUUUUUUGUAUUUUUAGUAGAGACGGGGUUUCAGCAUGUUAGCCAGGAUAGUCUCGAUCUCCUGACCUCGUGAUCCGCCCGCCUCGGCCUCCCAAAGUGCUGGGAUUACAGGCGUGAGCCACCGUACCCAGCCCUGCCUGCUUCUUAAGUGGCCCAGGAGGACAGGGAGUGAGCUUGUCUCUCCCCACUGCAGGGUCCUGAGGGCUGGGGACUGUGCUGACACUGGUCUCUCCCCUGCCUAGGCAUAUCCUGUUCCUAGUGCUUGGAACACCCUUCCCACCCUCACAUGCCUGGCAAAUUGUUCUUCACCUCUAGGUUCACAUGUCGCCUCCUUCAGCUUUAAAUUCCUACACGAGGCCAGGCGCAGUGGCUCACGCCUGUAAUCCCAGCACUUUGGGAGGCUGAGACGAGCAGAUCACGAGGUCAAGAGAUCGAGACCAUCCUGGCCAACAUGGUGAAACCCCCUCUCUACUAAAAACACAAAAAGUUAGCUGAGCAUGGUGUCAUGUGCCUGUAAUCCAGCUACUCAGGAGGCUGAGGCAGGAGAAUCGCUUGAACCCGGGAGGUGGAGGUUGCAGUGAGCCAAGAUUGAGCCACUGCACUUCAGCCUGAGAGACAGAGUGAGACUCCGUCUCAAAAAUAAAAUAAAAUAAAUUCCUACACGAAGGCUGGGGCUGGCUCCGAGUGAGCGGGCCUGGGGUAUUUGUGGGAUAAUGUAACUUGGGAGUGUCUAAGUAGGAAAAAACUUUAGGUUCUUCAGUCCCAUUGUGCAUGGGGAAACAGAGGCCCUGUGCUGGUAAGUAAUGGGGCAGAAGCCAGGGUGGCUGCCUCAGUUGGAGGGAAAGCGGCACCAAGAUUCACAGGACAGCUCUGGGGUCCUGGUCGCAGUCCCUGCCGUGCCGCCUUCUCACUCAGUGACCCUGAGCAAGCUGCUUGCCACGAGAUGUCGGCUCCGUGGCAGUGGAUAGCUUCAGCCGUGGGAAGUCCUUGGCAAUCCCCUGGCUCGCGGCUGGUGCUCAGCUGGGUUCGCUCUGACUAGCACUGCACCUUGGUCACCACCUCGACUGCCACACACCCUCCCCCAGUGGAGACAGAGCCAGGGGUCUCUCAGCUUCCCCAACCCUGGCUCCCCAUUGUCCAGCCUCAGGGAUUUGGAGACUGGGACAAACUAGCCAUGCGGGGGAAAGGUGUUCCAGAGGAGGGAACACAGUGAGCCAACAAGAGGAUGGGAUGGGGCAGGGCCUGUUCCAGGAACAGGCUGGGGUCACUCUCCCUUCUCCAGAGUCCAAGGCACAUGGGUGGUGGGAGAAGAGAUAGGAGAGGCUGGCGAAAACCAGCCCGCAAGGCCCUAAAUGCCUGACUAAGAAGCUUCAGUCUUUCACUGAAGUUUUGGAGCUAGGUUGGGUGCAGUCAGAUAGCUUGGGGGCUGGGCCGGAGCAUCUGGUGGAGAGUGAGACACCGGUGUGAGCUGCAGCCCUCGCUGUGGGUCCCAGCACCCAGGACUGCACCCAGCCCAGGACUGCAGCAAGCAGGCACAGGAUGCGUGGCUGACUGAGGCCUGUACUCCGACUGGAGUCACCUAGGAGAUUGGCUGAGAUGACCUCCAGAAGGGCCUUGCCCCAGGCCGGACCCCAAGGGGAAGCUGGCUCUAUGUCUUUGGACGAGUUAGGAACUCAUUGGGGGUGGCUGCGGUUUUAUUUGGGGAUUCAGCUGUGCCCUGCACACCAGCUGCUGAGCAAUGUCUCCAGGAAGCCACAGCUGCCCUCUGGGAGGCAGGGGGCCAGGUGCAGUAGAGGAGAUGCCCCAGCGGCUCAUGCAGGAGCUCACUCAGACGCCAGAACCCCAGCCAAGGAGGCACCCCAGACCCAGGCCCACCAGGGCCAGUGUCCCCACUCCACGACAGGGGCACUGCAGCCGGGGUGGACACCCAGCCUUGCUGCUCACUAGUCACGUGGUCUGGGCAAGUCUCUUCCUCUUCCCUGAGUGAGGUGAGGCAGGAUGGGCUAGGAUAUGUGGUGGUAACAAACAACUCCAGUCUCUUUUUUUAUAAUUUCCUACAGACUUUUUUUUGUUCUUGUUGAGGCAGAGUAUCGCUCAAUUGCUAAGGCUGGAGCACAGUGGUGCUAUCUCAGCUCACUGCAACCCCCACUCCCCAGGUUCAAGUUAUUCUCUUGCCUCAGCCUCCCAAGUAGCUGGGAUUACAGGCGUGCACCACCAAACCUGGCUAAUUUUUGUACUUUUAGUAGAGAUGGGGUUUCAUCAUAUUGGCCAGGCUGGUCUCGAACUCCUGACCUCAAGUGAUCCACCCGCCUCGGCCUCCCAAAGUGUUGGGAUUACAGGCAUGAGCCACCGCACCCGGCCAACCUGUAGAUUUUUUGAGAUAAAACAGCUUUAUUGAGAUCUAAUUCACAUAUCACACAAUUCAUUUUAAAGCGUGCAGCUCUCUGUGGUGGAUGGUAUAUUCGCAGAGUUGUGCAACCAUCACCACAAUCAAUUUUAGAACAUUUUCGAGGCCGGGCGCGGUGGCUCACGCCUGUAAUCCUAGCACUUUGGGAGGCCAAGGCGGGCAGAUCACCUGAAGUCAGGAGUUUGAGACCAGCCUGGGCAACAUGGUGAAACCCCCCUCUACUAAAAAUACAAAAAUUAGCUGGGCAUGGUGGAGGGCGCCUGUAAUCCCAGCUACUCUGGAGGCUGAGGCAGGAGAAUCGCUUGAACCCAGGAGGCAGAGGUUGCAGUGAGCCGAGAUUGCACCACGGCACUCCAGCCUGGGCGACAGAGUGAGACUCUGUCUCAGAAAAAAAAAAAAAAAAAAAAGAACAUUUUAAUCACCCUCCAAACACACCAUGUACCCAUUAGUAACCACUCUCCAUUUACCUGCUCUGCCCAGCCCCUGGCAACCACUCACACACUUUCCAUCUCUAUGGGUUUGCGUGUUCUGGACAUUUCAUAUAAAUGAAACCAUAUGACGUCGCCUUUUGUGACUGACUUCUUUCACUUAGCAAAACUUUUUAAAAAUAGCUUUUAUUGGCUGGGUGCAGUUGUUUGUGCCUGUAAUCCCAGCACUUUGGGAGGCCGAGGCGGGCCGAUCACGAGGUCAGGAGAUCCAGAACAUCCUGGCCAACAUGAUGAAACCCCGUCUCUACUAAAAGUACAAAAAUUAUCCGGGCGUGGUGGUGCAUGCCUGUAAUCCCAGCUACUCAGGAGGCUGAGGAAGGAGAAUUGCUUGAACCAGGGAGUUGGAGGUUGCAGUGAGCCAAGAGCCCACCACUGCACUCCAGCCUAGAGACAGAGCGAGACUCCGUCUCAAAGAAAAAGAAAGCUGGCUGGGCGCGGUGGUUCACGCCUGUAAUCCCAGCACUUUGGUAGGCCGAGGCGGGUGGAUCACAAGGUCAGGAGAUCAAGACCAUCCUGGCUAACAUGGUGAAACCCCGUCUCUACCAAAAUACAAAAAAUUAUCCAGGCGUGGUGGCGGGUGCCUGUAGUCCCAGCUAUUUGGGAGGCUGAGGCGGGAGAAUAGUGUGAACCCGGGAGGCGGAGUUUGUAGUGAGCCCAGAUUGCACCAGCCUGGGGACAGAGUGAGACUCCGUCUCAAAAAAAAAAGAAAGCUUUUUUUUUCAGAGCUGCCUGAGGUUCACGGCCAAAUUAAGCAGAAGGUACAGAGAGUUCCCAUGUACCUCUGCCCCCACACAUGCACAGCCUCCCUCACAAUCAACAUCCCCCGCUGGAGCCGCACAUUUGUUACAACUGAGGAACCUACAGGGCCACAUCAUCACCGGAAGUCCAGGGUUUCCAUGAGGGUUCCCUCUUCCUGCCGGAUGCUUCACGCGUUCGGGCGAAUGUAUAAUGACUUGUCUCCACCAUUAGGGUUUUAUGCAGAAUAGUUUUUGUUUUGUUUUGUUUUGUUUUUGAGACGGAGUCUCGCUCUGUCGCCCAGGCUGGAGUGCAGUGGCACAAUCAUGGCUCACUGCAACCUCCGCCUCCUGGGUUCAAGCGAUCCUCCUGCCUCAGCCUCCUGAGUAGCUGGGACUACAGGGGUGCGCCCCCACAUCUGGCUAAUUUUUGUAUUUUUAGCAGAGAUGGGGUUUCGCCAUGUUGGCCAGGCUGGUCUCAAACUCCUGAGCUCAAGUGAUCCACCCGCCUCGGCCUCCCAAAGUGCUGGGAUUACAGGCAUAAGCCACCGCACCUGGCCUAGAGUUAUUUCUCUAUUUGACUACUAAAGGACAUC